CGCGGGAAGCUGGCCAGAGAGAAGACAGAGGACGCUCACGGGCCUGUCCCCAGGCACGGCUCUGGCACGGCCAGCCCAGGUGGGAGACCACGAGAUUCUCGUUUGGAGUCUGGGCUCCUGAAGCCAAUUCCCGGCUCUGGCUCUGGCUGGUUUUGCCACUCUGGGGGCAAGGGGGGACAGUGGGAGGGACCCUCCGUCUCUGAGCUUUGGUAAGAUGAGGAGUGGGCCCGUUCACUGCAGCAGUCUCCAUGGGCAGCCCUGGUCUGCUCUAGUGGACACUUCCUACCACGGCCAUGUUGCUAAUCAUUGACGAAGCAACGCACGCUGCAACUUCAUUUUGUGUAUUAUUAACAGAAAGAGAACCUAAUUAAAACGUAUUUCUCACUUUAUAUGUUAAAAGAAAGCAGGAGGAGAGUGGGGAAGGGAGGAGAAAAGCCCCUGCAGCCUCCAGGUCUAACAAGUGGGUGAGAGUGUGCACACACAGCGUGCCGGGUACCACUCAGGAAGCUCUCCCUACAGCGCUGUGGGAUGGAAAGGCCAAGUUCAGAGCUUGUGGACCAGCUUUCUUGAAAAAUGCCUUUCGAUAAUUUAAACCUAGGCAAAUACACCAAAACCUGUGUGCAAAAAGAAACCAUUUGGCUCUUACAGGAGGAAUAACAUCUAGCAGAGCGAGCUGCAGCCCACGUGGCUCCCACUUUUAGCCAGAAGUAACACGUUUGGAGAGGGAAAGGUAGGCUCUGAGAGUGAUUCAGACUAAUCACCAGACGACAGGAAGCCCUCACGCCUGACAUGGCCCUGAACCCGCUGCCCUCCUCCCAGCGUCUCAACAGGAAGAUCACCAGGAGAUGCGUGAAAUUUUCAGUUUUUAAAUUGCCUGUCUUCAGACUGCUUUAGGCCCAACCCAGACUCUUCCAUGCCUAGGCCGUGAAUCCAUUUACAGUAUAGGAGAGUCUGAAAUUCUGAUACACGGAAAUGGCAAGAGAAGGGGGAAAAAGCGCUGUGACGCACAGGCUAAUCUAGGCUCCCAGCAUUCCAUGUUUCCAGUGCAGGCUGUCCUUAAUCCAACUUCACACGCCAGGGGAAGCCCACCCAAACGGAAUGGGCUGGAUGAACUCUCCCCUCCCCAAGUAUCACUGUCAAGCCUCAAAGCUAUGACUUCCCCUUCCUGGAAACCAAGAGUUUACGACAUCUACACAUGGCGCUUAAAAUAAGGGAGCCCUUCAGGUAAGAAUUCAGGAGCCAGGGCCAGCCCCGUGGUGCAGAGGUUAAGUUCCCACGUGCCGCUUCAAUGGCCCGGGGUUCGCCGGUUCCAAUCCCGGGUGCGGACAAGGCACUGCUUGGCAAGCCAUGCUGUGGUGGGCGUCCCACGUAUAAAGUAGAGGAAGACGGGCACGGAUGUUAGCUCAGGGCCAGACUUCCUCAGGAAAAAGAGGAGGACUGGCAGUGGAUGUUAGCUCAGGGCUAAUCUUCCUCAAAAAAAAAAGAAUUCAGGAGUCACUAAAGGGUCAACAGGUCAAGGGUCCACACCUGUCCACUCGGGAAACUUAUCUGGGAGAGAAGGGCAAGGAGGAGAAUGCUCCAUCUAGGUGAUCAGCACUCUGGAAAUAGAGGGCAGGUCAAACCGCAGCAAAGCCUACAUCACAGCAGCCUUCCACAAGGAACCGUGCAAAUGGCCCAAAGGCUGAAGGUGGCAAAGUAGCACACAAAGGAUGAAAAACAUAAAACAAAGCAAGAAGUCAGUAUCACAAAUUAAUCCAUAAGCUAUCAGGUGAACAUAAAUGACUCUACCUUAGAUAAGAUUUCCAGGGCAGGGGAAAUAGGAAUUCUACAGCAUAGAAACAAAGUGCUCCUCUGCAAACGCACAGGAGGGGAGUUCACGGUGAGCCUUUAAGAAAUAGGCCUCAUUCCCUCUGUUCUUUACACACACGCACAACAGCAGAGCCAUCCUAACAACUCCAAAGGGAGCAGGUGGUUUCUGUGUAGAAAGAAUCCAUGAUGACAGCAAGGUUUGGGUUGUUGUACAGACCUCACCCCGCAGAAUACUUCAAUAUAGUCAGCUGCCGAGGAAGCCUUAUUUUUCCACUGACUUCAACCAUAAGAUCAGAAAUAAACUGUAAUGGAAAAAAUCUUUAAUAGACAAUUUUUUGUCAAAAAGGGACUUAAUGGCCUAGUAUCAGUUAAGGCGUGUUUUGUUGGGGUGUGUGUGAACAUGUAUGCACGUGUUAUACACACAUAACCUGAUGGGAAUUGGAGUCAAUGCUUCUUUCCCUUUGUGACUCUUUCCUGGAUCUUCCUUCUGUUGACCAACUUCCUGGAUCUCUUAAACUUGCAGAAUUUCCUGAGAACUUUAAAACUGACUCCUUCCUCUGCAUUUUGCUUGUGUAGCUCCCAAGUGCUAAGAGAGCAGGUGUGCAACACUAUGCUGCACAACCAGGUGCCAUCAGACUACAGUGACUACUCCAGCAGCCUAGUCACUGACCACAGGCUUUGGGCGAAAUAAAAGAACUUACUCCAGUGGCCAGUGUGCCUCAGUCCCAUGCUCAAUCAUCUUCACAAUGCACCAGGAAACUUCUCCCCAGAUGAGGAAACUGAGGAAAAAGAAUGGAAGCAUCUAACUCAACAUCACUCAGCCAUCUGAGGUGCACGUGAGAAGAGACUCCAGAGAUCCUGUUGGUAGGCUGGUGACUGUGGCAAUUAGCUGCUCAAAGCAGAGGGGAUCAGCCCUGAGCCUCUGCUGCACCCAGAACCCACACAGGCCCCCUUCCUCACCAGAGAA